rnacentral:rRNA from 1 species
AACGAACGCUGGCGGCAUGCCUAACACAUGCAAGUCGAACGAUACCUUCGGGUCUAGUUGCGCACGGGUUCGUAACGCGUGGGAACCUGCCCUUAGGUUCGGAAUAACUCCCCGAAAGGGGUGCUAAUACCGGAUAAUGUCUUCGGACCAAAGAUUUAUCGCCUUUGGAUGGGCCCGCGUUGGAUUAGCUAGUUGGUAAGGUAAAAGACUACCAAGGCGACGAUCCAUAGCUGGUCUGAGAGGAUGAUCAGCCACACUGGGACUGAGACCCGGCCCAGACUCCUAGGGGAGGAAGCAGUGGGGAAUAUUGGACACUGGGCGAAAGACUGAUCCAGCAAUGCCGCGUGAGUGAUGAAGGCCUUAGGGUUGUAAAGCUCUUUUACCCGGGAUGAUAAUGACAGUACCGGGAGAAUAAGCUCCGGCUAACUCCGUG